rnacentral:rRNA from 1 species
AUACGGAGGAUCCGAGCGUUAUCCGGAUUUAUUGGGUUUAAAGGGUGCGCAGGCGGCCAUUUAAGUCAGCGGUUAAAUCGUGGGGCUCAACCCCAUUCUGCCGUUGAUACUGGGUGGCUUGAUUGCGGUCGAGGUUGGCGGAAUUCGUUGUGUAGCGGUGAAAUGCAUAGAUAUGACGAAGAACACCGAUUGCGUAGGCAGCUGACCAGACCGCAAAUGACGCUCAUGCACGAAAGUGCGGGGAUCGAACAGGAUUAGAUACCCUGGUAGUCCGCACAGUAAACGAUGAAUACUUGUUUUCGGCGAUAUAAUGUCGGAGGCAAAGCGAAAGCGAUAAGUAUUCCACCUGGGGAGUACGCCGGCAACGGUGAGACUCAAAUGAAUUGACGGG